rnacentral:rRNA from 1 species
AAUGGGCGCAAGCCUGAUCCAGCCAUGCCGCGUGAGUGAUGAAGGCCCUAGGGUCGUAAAGCUCUUUCGCCUGUGAAGAUAAUGACGGUAGCAGGUAAAGAAACCCCGGCUAACUCCGUGCCAGCAGCCGCGGUAAUACGGAGGGGGUUAGCGUUGUUCGGAAUUACUGGGCGUAAAGCGCGCGUAGGCGGAUUAGUCAGUCAGAGGUGAAAUCCCAGGGCUCAACCCUGGAACUGCCUUUGAUACUGCUAGUCUUGAGUUCGAGAGAGGUAAGUGGAACUCCGAGUGUAGAGGUGAAAUUCGUAGAUAUUCGGAGGAACACCAGUGGCGAAGGCGGCUUACUGGCUCGAUACUGACGCCGAGGUGCGAAAGUGUGGGGAGCAAACAGGAUU